CGUUGCUCGGAAUCACUGGGCGUAAAGGGCGCGUAGGCGGCCAUUUAAGUCGGGGGUGAAAGCCUGUGGCUCAACCACAGAAUUGCCUUCGAUACUGGGUGGCUUGAGUCCGGAAGAGGUUGGUGGAACUGCGAGUGUAGAGGUGAAAUUCGUAGAUAUUCGCAAGAACACCGGUGGCGAAGGCGGCCAACUGGUCCGGAACUGACGCUGAGGCGCGAAAGCGUGGGGAGCAAACAGGAUUAGAUACCCUGGUAGUCAAGGGCGAAUUCGC
rnacentral:rRNA from 1 species